CUUAGUAGGUCCAAGAAUUUGAUAGCUAAGAAAAGGGUGUAAAACAAUCAUUAUACUCUAAAAAUUUAAGCUGUUAUAAAACGGUGUUUAAACUUUUGUAUAUUUAACACUUCCGCUCGAGGAAAUUAAUAUGCUAGGAACCUGGCGUGAUUCGAAUUCAAGACCUCCUGCUCUGAUAUCAUGUGAAACAACCGUUGUACUUUAAAAGUUUAAGCUGUUAGAGAACGGUGUUUAAAUAUUUUUACAUUUACCAAAGGGUGCUUAGCAAACGAAUU
rnacentral:lncRNA from 1 species